CAAUGUUGUACUGGUUUCUGCUGUACAACAACAUGGAUCAGCCAUAAGUAAAAACAUAUUCCCUCCCUCUGGAGCCCCCCUCACCCCUGCCACCAUCUCACCCCUCUGAGUUCACAGAGCACCAGGCUGAGCUCCUUGUGUUAUACACUAGCUUCCCACCAGCUACCUGUUUUACACAUGGUGGUAUGUGCAUUUCAGUGCUACACUCUCCAUCCGUUCCACCCUCUCCUUCCCUGCUGUGUCCACAAAUCCAUUCUCUACAUCUGUGUCUCUGUUCCGCCCCGCAGAUAGAUUCAACGGUACCAUUUUCCUAGAUUUCAUAUUUAUGCAGUAUUCCGACAGGUGUGGGGCCUUGGUUUUGAUUUGCAUUUUCGUGAUGAUUAGUGAUGCUGAGCCAGCCAGAGAUCCUUUUAAGCACUCUGGUGCUAGCAAGCACUCGAUCAAUUUCAGCUAUUCUUUUUAUUAAUAUGUGGUCCUUCAGCAAAUAUAGCUGGGAAAGAUGGCUCACUGAGCCAUUAACUCCUUGGUAUGAAUUAGUUUCUCAGCAGGAAUAGUUGAGAAAGGACCUCAGGAUGGGAGCAAGGAUGGAGUUACAGAGAGGUAGAGCUUAAAAAAAAAGAAUGCUAGGGAAUCUAAAGCAAAUCUCUGUGGUUUUGCUGAGGCCCACCCCGGCACAGCAUGAAGAUAGCUCUGCAAGCAGCCGUUGGCGUAUCUCCCUCUGAGCCCAGCCAGGCGGUGGAGGAAAUGAAGAGGCGCUCCAGGGAGGGGCACGGCCAAGAGGCCAGGGCAGAGCGGGGAGAGCCGGUGGUGAGCGCAGCUGCCCUGCGACAUGGACGGCCCCUCGCGCUGCUGCUGCUGGCCCAGGACACAGCAGGGGUCGUGAUGGCAGCUCUUGGGCAGUGUCCUCUGCACCCCGGCCCCUUCGGCUCUCCACGCACCCAGGCGGGGCCACCUCCUCCAGGCUCUGCUGGGACACUGCUCUUGGUUCUGCAGACAAAGUGCCUCAACUUCCACAAUCGGCACUUCCCAGAUCAAUCAUCACCUACUUUAUCAUCCAGUUUGGUUGGUUCAGAUGACUUUAAGUUCCUAUGGAAGCAUGAAACACAGCGAGGAGAAGAGAAUUGCCGAUUCCCAGGGGCCUGUGUCUGCCAGCGGCUGCUGAGUACCUCUGAGAAACUCUGCUUUGAGCUAAUAGGAACCCCCUGUUCUGGGAAGAUCAGUAUAUGGAACAAAAACCUCUGGGUGGACCCCUGGGCAAGAUGAAUUUGACCGACCAUAUGUUCCAGGACUCCAGCGGUAAGUCCUAGACACCACCACUCAGUUGCUCGGCUUGGGUAAGAUGAGCAAAAUGCCAGCUCUGGGAAAGUGGCUGCUAGUUUCUAUUAAAUAAUAGUCUGACCAUUUAGUUCUUGAACAACACUAUGACCAUCCCACAGAUGAGGAAAAUGAGACUCAGAGAGGUGACAUGACUGUCCUAAGAUCACACAAGUUUCUCUUGAGUACCUGAGACCAGGCCAUGGGACCCUCAAGCUCAGAUUCUUUCACG
rnacentral:lncRNA from 1 species